rnacentral:rRNA from 1 species
GGGUUGUGAGGUUAAGCGACUAAGCGUACACGGUGGAUGCCCUGGCAGUCAGAGGCGAUGAAGGGCGUGCUAAUCUGCGAUAAGCGCCGGUAAGGUGAUAUGAACCGUUAUAACCGGCGAUACCCGAAUGGGGAAACCCAGUGUGAUUCGUCACACUAUCAUUAACUGAAUCCAUAGGUUAAUGAGGCGAACCGGGGGAACUGAAACAUCUAAGUACCCCGAGGAAAAGAAAUCAACCGAGAUUCCCCCAGUAGCGGCGAGCGAACGGGGAGGAGCCCAGAGCCUGAAUCAGCAUGUGUGUUAGUGGAAGCGUCUGGAAAGGCGCGCGAUACAGGGUGACAGCCCCGUACACAAAAGCGCAUGUGCUGUGAGCUCGAUGAGUAGGGCGGGACACGUGGUAUCCUGUCUGAAUAUGGGGGGACCAUCCUCCAAGGCUAAAUACUCCUGACUGACCGAUAGUGAACCAGUACCGUGAGGGAAAGGCGAAAAGAACCCCGGCGAGGGGAGUGAAAAAGAACCUGAAACCGUGUACGUACAAGCAGUGGGAGCACCCUUUGGGUGUGACUGCGUACCUUUUGUAUAAUGGGUCAGCGACUUAUAUUCUGUAGCAAGGUUAACCGAAUAGGGGAGCCGGAGGGAAACCGAGUCUUAACCGGGCGUUAAGUUGCAGGGUAUAGACCCGAAACCCGGUGAUCUAGCCAUGGGCAGGUUGAAGGUUGGGUAACACUAACUGGAGGACCGAACCGACUAAUGUUGAAAAAUUAGCGGAUGACCUGUGGCUGGGGGUGAAAGGCCAAUCAAACCGGGAGAUAGCUGGUUCUCCCCGAAAGCUAUUUAGGUAGCGCCUCGUGAAUUCAUCUCCGGGGGUAGAGCACUGUUUCGGCUAGGGGGCCAUCCCGGCUUACCAACCCGAUGCAAACUGCGAAUACCGGAGAAUGUUAUCACGGGAGACACACGGCGGGUGCUAACGUCCGUCGUGAAGAGGGAAACAACCCAGACCGCCAGCUAAGGUCCCAAAGUCAUGGUUAAGUGGGAAACGAUGUGGGAAGGCCCAGACAGCCAGGAUGUUGGCUUAGAAGCAGCCAUCAUUUAAAGAAAGCGUAAUAGCUCACUGGUCGAGUCGGCCUGCGCGGAAGAUGUAACGGGGCUAAACCAUGCACCGAAGCUGCGGCAGCGACACUGUGUGUUGUUGGGUAGGGGAGCGUUCUGUAAGCCUGUGAAGGUGUGUCGUGAGGCAUGCUGGAGGUAUCAGAAGUGCGAAUGCUGACAUAAGUAACGAUAAAGCGGGUGAAAAGCCCGCUCGCCGGAAGACCAAGGGUUCCUGUCCAACGUUAAUCGGGGCAGGGUGAGUCGACCCCUAAGGCGAGGCCGAAAGGCGUAGUCGAUGGGAAACGGGUUAAUAUUCCCGUACUUGGUGUUACUGCGAAGGGGGGACGGAGAAGGCUAUGUUGGCCGGGCGACGGUUGUCCCGGUUUAAGCGUGUAGGUGUGUGUUCCAGGUAAAUCCGGUUCACUUUAACACUGAGGCGUGACGACGAGGCACUACGGUGCUGAAGCAACAAAUGCCCUGCUUCCAGGAAAAGCCUCUAAGCAUCAGGUAACAUCAAAUCGUACCCCAAACCGACACAGGUGGUCAGGUAGAGAAUACCAAGGCGCUUGAGAGAACUCGGGUGAAGGAACUAGGCAAAAUGGUGCCGUAACUUCGGGAGAAGGCACGCUGACACGUAGGUGAAGUGAUUUACUCAUGGAGCUGAAGUCAGUCGAAGAUACCAGCUGGCUGCAACUGUUUAUUAAAAACACAGCACUGUGCAAACACGAAAGUGGACGUAUACGGUGUGACGCCUGCCCGGUGCCGGAAGGUUAAUUGAUGGGGUCAGUGCAAGCGAAGCUCCUGAUCGAAGCCCCGGUAAACGGCGGCCGUAACUAUAACGGUCCUAAGGUAGCGAAAUUCCUUGUCGGGUAAGUUCCGACCUGCACGAAUGGCGUAAUGAUGGCCAGGCUGUCUCCACCCGAGACUCAGUGAAAUUGAACUCGCUGUGAAGAUGCAGUGUACCCGCGGCAAGACGGAAAGACCCCGUGAACCUUUACUAUAGCUUGACACUGAACAUUGAGCCUUGAUGUGUAGGAUAGGUGGGAGGCUUUGAAGUGUGGACGCCAGUCUGCAUGGAGCCGACCUUGAAAUACCACCCUUUAAUGUUUGAUGUUCUAACGUGGACCCGUUACCCGGGUUGCGGACAGUGUCUGGUGGGUAGUUUGACUGGGGCGGUCUCCUCCUAAAGAGUAACGGAGGAGCACGAAGGUUGGCUAAUCCUGGUCGGACAUCAGGAGGUUAGUGCAAUGGCAUAAGCCAGCUUGACUGCGAGCGUGACGGCGCGAGCAGGUGCGAAAGCAGGUCAUAGUGAUCCGGUGGUUCUGAAUGGAAGGGCCAUCGCUCAACGGAUAAAAGGUACUCCGGGGAUAACAGGCUGAUACCGCCCAAGAGUUCAUAUCGACGGCGGUGUUUGGCACCUCGAUGUCGGCUCAUCACAUCCUGGGGCUGAAGUAGGUCCCAAGGGUAUGGCUGUUCGCCAUUUAAAGUGGUACGCGAGCUGGGUUUAGAACGUCGUGAGACAGUUCGGUCCCUAUCUGCCGUGGGCGCUGGAGAACUGAGGGGGGCUGCUCCUAGUACGAGAGGACCGGAGUGGACGCAUCACUGGUGUUCGGGUUGUCAUGCCAAUGGCACUGCCCGGUAGCUAAAUGCGGAAGAGAUAAGUGCUGAAAGCAUCUAAGCACGAAACUUGCCCCGA